AACAAACGCUGGCGGCGUGCCUAACACAUGCAAGUCGUACGAGAAAGUCGGCUUCGGCCGAUGAGUACAGUGGCGCACGGGUGAGUAGCGCGUGGGUAAUCUGCCCCCCGGUCAGGAAUAACCCGCCGAAAGGCGGGCUAAUACCCGAUAACACUGACGCUCCGCGGAGCGUCUUUCAAAGAAGGCCUCUGUUUGCAAGCUUUCGCCGGAGGAUGAGCCCGCGUACCAUUAGCUAGUUGGCAGGGUAAUGGCCUACCAAGGCUACGAUGGUUAGCUGGUCUGAGAGGAUGGCCAGCCACACUGGAACUGAGACACGGUCCAGACUCCUACGGGAGGCAGCAGUGAGGAAUCUUGCGCAAUGGGGGAAACCCUGACGCAGCAACGCCGCGUGAGUGAGGAAGGCCUUCGGUCGUAAAGCUCUGUCAGAUGGGAAGAAAUAGGAUGGGGGCGUAAUAUCGCCCAUCCUUCGACGGUACCGAUCAGAGGAAGCACCGGCUAA
rnacentral:rRNA from 1 species